rnacentral:lncRNA from 1 species
UUAGACUACUCAGUUGCGCCCUAACAGUAUUAACUUUGCAACGAGUACUUUUUCUCAUUUUAUCGAAGAAAACGCAAAAUCUAAUUAUAUUGUUCUAUUAUGCCCAGAGAGUGUAAAUUUGGAACGAAUCGAUGUCAACGCUCACAUGAACAAAAAUCGGGACAACAUUAGACUACUCAGUUGCGCCAUAACAGUAUAACUUUGCAACGAGUGCUUUUUCUCAUUUCAUCGUAGAAAGCGCAAAUCCAAUUAUAUUGUUCUAUUAUGCCCAGAGAGUGUAAAUUUGGAACGAACCGAUGUCAACGCUCACAAGAAAAAAAAAACCGGAACAACAUUAGACUACUUAGUUGCGCCCUAACAGUAUAACUUUGCAACGAGUACUUAUUCUCAUUUUAUCGAACAAAGCGUCAAACCUAAUUAUAUUGAUUUAUUAUGCCCAGAGAGUGUAAAUUUGGAACGAAUCAAUGUCAGCGCUCACAGGAACAAAAACCGGAACAACAAUAGACUGCUUAGUUGCGCCAUAACAGUAUAACUUUGCAACGAGUGCUUUUUCUCAUUUUAUCGAAAAAGCGCAAAUUUAAUUAUAUUGUUCUAUAAUGCCCAGAGAGUGUAAAAUUUGGAACGAAUCGAUGUCAACGCUCACAAGAACAAAAACCGGAACAACAUCAGACUACUCAGUUGCGCCAUAACAGUAUAACUUUGCAACGAGUGCUUUUUCUCAUUUUAUCGAAGAAAAAGAGUAAAACAUAAUUAUAUUGUUCUAUUAUGCCCAGAGAGUGUAAAUUUGGAACGAAUCGAUGUCAACGCUCGCAAGAACAAAAACCGAAACAACUUUAGACUACUCAGUUGCGCAAUAACAGUAUAACAUUGCAACGAGUGAUUUUUCUCAUUUUAUCGAAGAAAGCGUAAAACCUAAUUAUAUUUUUCUAUUAUGACCAGAGAGUGUAAAUUUGGAACGAAUCGAUGUCAACGCUCACAAGAACAAAAAUCGGAACAACAUUAGACUACUCAGUUGCUCCAUAACAGUAUAACUUUGCAACGAGUACUUUUUCUCAUUUUAUCGAAGAAAACGCAAAAUCUAAUUAUAUUGUUCUAUUAUGCCCAGAGAGUGUAAAUUUGGAACGAAUCGAUGUCAACGCUCACAUGAACAAAAAUCGGGACAACAUUAGACUACUGAGUUGCGCCCUAACAGUAUAAAUUUGCAACGAGACCUUUUUCUCAUUUUAUCGAAGAAAGCAUCAAACCUAAUUAUAUUGUUCUAUUAUGCCCAGACAGUGUAAUUUUGGAACGAAUCGAUGUCAACGCUCACAAGAAUAAAAACCGGAACAACAUUAGACUACUCAGUCGCGCCCUAACAGUAUAACUUUGCAACGAGUACUUUUUCUCAUUUUAUCGAACAAAGCGUCAAACCUAAUUAUAUUGAUUUAUUAUGCCCAGAGAGUGUAAAUUUAGAACGAAUCGAUGUCAACGCUCACAAGAACAAAAACCGGAACAACAAUAGACUACUUAGUUGCGCCAUAACAGUAUAACUUUGCAACGAAUGCUUUUUCUCAUUUUAUCGAAAAAGCGCAAAUUUAAUUAUAUUGUUCUAUAAUGCCCAGAGAGUGUAAAAUUUGGAACGAAUCGAUGUCAACGCUCACAAGAACAAAAACCGGAACAACAUGAGACUACUCAGUUACGCCCUAACAGUAUAAAUUUGCAACGAGCACUUUUUCUCAUUUUAUCGAAGAAAGCAUUAAACCUAAUUAUAUUGUAAUAUUAUGCCCAGAGGGUGUAAAUUUGGAACGAAUCGAUGUCAACGCUCACAAGAACAAAAACCGGAACAACAUUAGACUACUCAGUUGCGCCAUAACAGUAUAAUUUUGCAACGAGUGCUUUUCUCAUUUCAUCGAAGAAAGCGCAAAUCUAAUUAUAUUGUUCUAUUAUGCCCAGAGAGUGUAAAUUUGGAACGAAAUCGAUGUCAACGCUCACAAGAACAAAAACAGGAACAACAUUAGACUACUCAGUUGCGCCCUUACAGUAUAACUUUGCAACGAGUACUUUUUCUCAUUUUAUCGAAGAAAGCGUAAAACCUAAUUGUAUUCUUCUAUUAUGCCCAGAGAGUGUAAAUUUGGAACGAAUCGAUGUCAACGUUCACAAGAACAAAAACCGGAACAACAUUAGACUACUCAGUUGCGCCCUAACAGUAUAACUUUGCGACGAGUACUUUUUCUCAUUCUAUCGAACAAAGAGUAAAACAUAAUUAUAUUGUUCUAUUAUGCCCAGAGAGUGUAAAUUUGGAACGAAUCGAUGUCAACGCUCGCAAGAACAAAAACCGAAACAACUUUAGACUACUCAGUUGCGCAAUAACAGUAUAACAUUGCAACGAGUGAUUUUUCUCAUUUUAUCGAAGAAAGCGUAAAACCUAAUUAUAUUUUUCUAUUAUGACCAGAGAGUGUAAAUUUGGAACGAAUCGAUGUCAACGCUCACAAGAACAAAAAUCGGAACAACAUUAGACUACUCAGUUGCGCCCUAACAGUAUAACUUUGCAACGAGUACUUAUUCUCAUUUUAUCGAACAAAGCGUCAAACCUAAUUAUAUUGAUUUAUUAUGCCCAGAGAGUGUAAAUUUGGAACGAAUCAAUGUCAGCGCUCACAGGAACAAAAACCGGAACAACAAUAGACUGCUUAGUUGCGCCAUAACAGUAUAACUUUGCAACGAGUGCUUUUUCUCAUUUUAUCGAAAAAGCGCAAAUUUAAUUAUAUUGUUCUAUUCUGCCCAGAGAGUGUAAAUUUGGAACGAAUCGAUGUCAACGCUCACAAGAAAAAAAACCAGAACAACAUUAGACUACUCAGUUGCGACAUAACAGUAUAACUUUGCAACGAGUACUUUUUCUCAUUUUAUCGAAGAAAACGCAAAAUCUAAUUAUAUUGUUCUAUUAUGCCCAGAGAGUGUAAAUUUGGAACGAAUCGAUGUCAACGCUCACAUGAACAAAAAUCGGGACAACAUUAGACUACUGAGUUGCGCCCUAACAGUAUAAAUUUGCAACGAGACCUUUUUCUCAUUUUAUCGAAGAAAGCAUCAAACCUAAUUAUAUUGUUCUAUUAUGCCCAGACAGUGUAAUUUUGGAACGAAUCGAUGUCAACGCUCACAAGAAUAAAAACCGGAACAACAUUAGACUACUCAGUCGCGCCCUAACAGUAUAACUUUGCAACGAGUACUUUUUCUCAUUUUAUCGAAGAAAGCGUCAAACCUAAUUAUAUUGUUCUAUAAUGCCCAGAGAGUGUAAAUUUGGAACGAAUCGAUAUCAACACUCACAAAAAUAAAAACCGGAACAACAUUUGAGUACUCAGUUGUGCCUCUAACAGGUAUAACUUUUUGCAACCAGUACUUUAUUCUCAUUUUUUUGAAGUAAGCGGCCAAAACUAAUUUAUAUUGUAUUCUAUUUAGCCCCAGAGAGCUUGUAAAUUUCUGGAACGAAUUGAUGUCAACGCUCCACAAGAACAAAAACUGGAACAAAAUUAGGCUACUUAGUUGCGCCCUAACAGUAUAACUUUGCAACGAGUGCUUUUUCACAUUUUAUCGAAGAAAGCGUCAAACCUAAUUAUAUUGCUCUAUAAUGCCCAGAGAGUGUAAAUUUGGAACGAAUCGAUAUCAACACUCACAAAAAUAAAAACCGGAACAACAUUUGAGCACUCAGUUGUGUGCCCUUAACAGGUAUAACUUUUGCAACCAGUACUUUUUCUUCAUUUUAUCGAAAGUAAUGCGUCAAAACUAAUUUAUAUUAUGUCUCUUUUACGCCCAGAAGAGAGUAAAUCUGGAACGGAAUCGAUGUCAACGCUCACAAGAACAAAAACUGGAACAAAAUUAGGCUACUUAGUUGCGCCCUAACAGUAUAACUUUGCAACGAGUGCUUUUUCACAUUUUAUCGAAGAAAGCGUCAAACCUAAUUAUAUUGCUCUAUAAUGCCCAGAGAGUGUAAAUUUGGAACGAAUCGAUAUCAACACUCACAAAAAUAAAAACCGGAACAACAUUUGAGUACUCAGUUGCGCCUUAACAGUAUAACUUUGCAACCAGUACUUUUUCUCAUUUUAUCGAAGUAAGCGUCAAACCUAAUUAUAUUAUUCUAUUAUGCCCAGAGAGUGUAAAUUUGGAACGAUUCGAUGUCAACGCUCACAAGAACAAAAACCGGAACAACAUUAGACUCUUCAGUUGCACCCUAACAGUAUAACUUUGCAACGCGUACUUUUUCUCGUUUUAUCGAAGAAAGCGUAAAAUCUAAUUAUAUUGUUGUAUUAUGCCCAGAUAGUGUAAAUUUGGAACGAAUCGAUGUCAACGCUCACAAGAACAAAAACCGGAACAACAUUAGAGCACUCAGUUCCGCCAUAACAGUAUAACUUUGCAACGAGUGCUUUUUUUCAUUUUAUCGAAGAAAGCGUAAAACCUAGUUAUAUUAUUCUAUUAUGCCCAGAGAGUGUAAAUUUGGAACGAAUCGAUUUCAACGCUCACAAGAACAAAAACCGGAACAACAUUAGACUACUCAGUUGCGCCCUAACAGUAUAACUUUGCAACGAGUACUUUUUCUCAUUUAUCGAAGAAAGCGUCAAACCUAAUUAUAUUGUUCUAUCUUGCCCAGAGAGUGUAAAUUUGGAACGAAUCGAUGUCAAAGCUCACAAGAACAAAAAUCGGAUCAAUAUUAGACUACUCAGUUGCGCCCUAACAGUAUAACUUUGCAACGAGUGCUUUUUCUCAUUUUAUCGAAGAAAGCGUAAAUCUAAUUAUAUUGUUCUAUUAUACCUAGAGAGUGUAAAAUUGGAACGAACUGAUGUGAGCGCUCACAAGAACAAAAACCGGAUCAAUAUUAGACUACUCAGUUCCGCCCUAACAGUAUAACUUUGCAACGAGUACUUUUUCUCAUUUAUCGAAGAAAGCGUCAAACCUAAUUAUAUUGUUCUAUUAUGCCCAGAGAGUGUAAAUUUGGAACGAAUCGAUUUUAAAGCUCACAAGAACAAAAACCGGAACAAUAUUAGACAACUCAGUUGCGCCCGAACAGUAUAACUUUGCAACGAGUGCUUUUUCUCAUUUUAUCGAAGAAAGCGUCAAACCUCAUUAUAUUGUUCUAUUAUGCCGAGAGAGUGUAAAUUUGGAACGAAUCGAUGUCAACGCUCACAAGAACAAAAACCGGAACAACAUUAGACUCUUCAGUUGCACCCUAACAGUAUAACUUUGCAACGCGUACUUUUUCUCGUUUUAUCGAAGAAAGCGUAAAAUCUAAUUAUAUUGUUGUAUUAUGCCCAGAUAGUGUAAAUUUGGAACGAAUCGAUGUCAACGCUCACAAGAACAAAAACCGGAACAACAUUAGAGCACUCAGUUCCGCCAUAACAGUAUAACUUUGCAACGAGUGCUUUUUUUCAUUUUAUCGAAGAAAGCGUAAAACCUAGUUAUAUUAUUCUAUUAUGCCCAGAGAGUGUAAAUUUGGAACGAAUCGAUUUCAACGCUCACAAGAACAAAAACCGGAACAACAUUAGACUACUCAGUUGCGCCCUAACAGUAUAACUUUGCAACGAGUACUUUUUCUCAUUUUAUCGAAGAAAGCGUAAAAUCUAAUUAUAUUGUUCUAUUAUUCCCAGAUAGUGUAAAUUUGGAACGAAUUGAUGUCAACGCUCACAAGAACAAAAACCGGAACAACUUUAGACUACUCAGUUGCGCCUAACAGUAUAACUUUGCAACGAGUACUUUUUCUCAUUUUAUCGAAGAAAGCGUCAAAACUAAUUAUAUUGUUCUAUUACGCCCAGAGAGUGUAAAUUUGGAACGAAUUGAUGUCAACGCUCACAAGAACAAAAACUGGAACAAAAUUAGGCUACUUAGUUGCGCCCUAACAGUAUAACUUUGCAACGAGUGCUUUUUCACAUUUUAUCGAAGAAAGCGUCAAACCUAAUUAUAUUGCUCUAUAAUGCCCAGAGAGUGUAAAUUUGGAACGAAUCGAUAUCAACACUCACAAAAAUAAAAACCGGAACAACAUUUGAGUACUCAGUUGCGCCUUAACAGUAUAACUUUGCAACCAGUACUUUUUCUCAUUUUAUCGAAGUAAGCGUCAAACCUAAUUAUAUUAUUCUAUUAUGCCCAGAGAGUGUAAAUCUGGAACGAAUCGAUGUCAACGCUCACAAGAACAAAAACCGGAACAACAUUAGACUACUCAGUUGCGCCAUAACAAUAUAACUUUGCAACGAGUACUUUUUCUUAUUUUAUCGAAGAAAGCGUAAAUCCUAAUUAUAUUAUUCUAUUAUGCCCAGAGAGAGUAAAUUUAGAACCAAUCGAUGUCAACGCUCACAAGAACAAAAAUCGGAACAACAAUAGACUACUCAGUUGCACCCUAACAGUAUAACUUUACAACGAGUGCUUUUUCUCAUUUUAUCGAAGAAGGCGUCAAACCUAAUUAUAUUGUUCUAUUAUUCCGAGAAAGUGUAAAUUUGGAACGAAUCGAUGUCAAAGCUCACAAGAACAAAAACCGGAACAAUAUUGGACUACUCAGUUGCGCCCUAACAGUAUAACUUUGCAACGAGUGCUUUUUCCCAUUUUAUCGAAGAAAGCGUAAAUGCUAAUUAUAUUGUUCUAUUAUGCCCAGAGAGUGUAAAUUUGGAACGAACCGAUGUCAGCGCUCACAAGAACAAAAACCGGAACAACAUUAGACUAAUCAGUUGCGCCCGAACAGUAUAAUUUUGCAACGAGUGAUUUUUCUCAUUUUAUCGAAGAAAGCGUCAAACCUAAUUAUAUUGUUCUAUUAUGCCCAGAGAGUGUAAAUUUGGAACGAAUCGAUGUCAACGCUCACAUGAACAAAAAUCGGGACAACAUUAGACUACUGAGUUGCGCCCUAACAGUAUAAAUUUGCAACGAGACCUUUUUCUCAUUUUAUCGAAGAAAGCAUCAAACCUAAUUAUAUUGUUCUAUUAUGCCCAGACAGUGUAAUUUUGGAACGAAUCGAUGUCAACGCUCACAAGAAUAAAAACCGGAACAACAUUAGACUACUCAGUCGCGCCCUAACAGUAUAACUUUGCAACGAGUACUUUUUCUCAUUUUAUCGAAGAAAGCGUCAAACCUAAUUAUAUUGUCUAUUAUGACCAGAGAGUGUAAAUUUGGAACGAAUCGAUGUCAACGCUCACAAGAACAAAAACCGGAAGAAAAUUAGACCACUUAGUUGCGCCCUAACAGUAUAACUUUGCAACGAGUACUUUUUCUCAUUUUAUCGAAUAAAGCGUAAAACCUAAUUAUAUUGUUCUAUUAUGCCCAGAGAGUGUAAAUUUGGAACGAAUCGAUGUCAACGCUCACAAGAACAAAAACCGGAAUAACUUUAGACUACUCAGUUGCGCCAUAACAAUAUAACUUUGCAA